rnacentral:rRNA from 1 species
CCUACGGGUGGCAGCAGUGGGGAAUAUUGGACAAUGGGCGAAAGCCUGAUCCAGCCAUGCCGCGUGUGUGAAGAAGGCCUUCGGGUUGUAAAGCACUUUCAGUGGGGAAGAAAGCCUUGGGGCUAAUACCCUCGAGGAAGGACAUCACCCACAGAAGAAGCACCGGCUAACUCCGUGCCAGCAGCCGCGGUAAUACGGAGGGUGCGAGCGUUAAUCGGAAUUACUGGGCGUAAAGCGCGCGUAGGCGGUCUGAUAAGCCGGUUGUGAAAGCCCCGGGCUCACCCUGGGAACGGCAUCCGGAACUGUCAGGCUAGAGUGCAGGAGAGGAAGGUAGAAUUCCCGGUGUAGCGGUGAAAUGCGUAGAGAUCGGGAGGAAUACCAGUGGCGAAGGCGGCCUUCUGGACUGACACUGACGCUGAGGUGCGAAAGCGUGGGUAGCAAACAGGAUUAGAUACCCGAGUAGUC